AAAUUACAGAAUUGUUUUGUGUUGUCAAAACCAGCAGGCUACAUAUAACGCUACUGGUCUGUGACCCGGGCUCAGCAGGCUUGUGUGCCACUACACUUUUUUUUUGCCUAUAUAUUUUUAGAACACUUCCUCCCAUUUUCCCCUCAUUUUCAACAGGACAGUUGGAUAUUGGAGGAAUUGUAAUGAAGACUUACUUAUACGUAUUUCUUGAAUUCUAAUUGUGUGUGUAUUAAAGGGAUUGAAGUUGUAGUCAUAGAGAAUAUUUAGAUAAAAGCAAAAUAUCUUGAUCUUAUGGUAUAGGUAGAAACAGAUAGUCAUUCAGAUUUAGCUGGGGGAGAUAAACCAUAAUAUUAUGGUUAGAAUGGUGCAUUCCCUUGAAAAAACAUUCCAAAUAGCUUGGCAUCUGCUUUUUGAUGUAAUUCUUUUGAAAUACUUUUGAGCCUGCUGUGUAAUAUAAUGGCCAAGACCUUGAAUUUUAGAGACUGAUUGAUCUGUCCUGGAAUCCUAGGUUCACUUCUUAACUAACUCUAAGCCUCAAUUUUCUGGUCAAUUAAAAAAUAUAAAAGAAUGAUAACAGAACCUAUUUCAGAAAGGUUAAAUGAGGUAAUUAUCAAGUGUUUAGUACAAUCCCAGGACCCAUUUCAAGCCCUCAAAAGUUAGUUAUUAACUACCUUCUUUUGUUCCUUUGUGAGAAUUUAGAAUUUAUUGAUUGCCAUUGAAGAUUUUUUAGGAUUCAGUGACAGCCAUGCCUUUUCCAAGUAAAAUAUAGCAAUAUAGAGCUUAUCCUGCUAGAGCAGAUGGCAGAACCAAAGGUGAAUUAGAUAAAAAGGAAAGCAAAUAUGGGGGAAUAAUGGUAAGAAAACGUAUAAACAAUAGAAUAAAAUUAAAGAAACCAAAGAUGAAAAUUAGAUAAGAUGUAUUUUGAUUUGCUUAUUACAAAUGCCCCUUGAUAUUUAGUGUCAUUUAAAUAUAUAAGUAAAUUGUAAGCACUUCAUUAUGUCUGUUUGGUAUCAUUACAGAAUGGAAAUACUAAUGCAGAUUUGUUACUUCCAUAUUUCCUCAGUGAAGUCGUGUAACUUUAAAAGGAAGAGGUAUUUGGUAUACACAAACUUAGAUGGCAAUUCUAUUCUAGUAAAUAUUCAAAAGGAGGAUUGUACAGGUUUACACAUGAAAUAUGAAAGUUAGCUCCAACAUAAUGCUGUGGCAUGCUAAUAUUAAAGCUACUAUCCCCAACAAAUAUAUUGUUUGCUAUUACUACUUUGCCAGAUUAAGUGACUUUGUGUCCUCUGGAAAGCAGCCAGUGCUGAGAGGACAAUUGGUACUUGUAUCUCAGCUAUUUUCUAGUUUGCUCGUGUUUGUAUGCCUUCCUAGAGUCAUUUGUGCUUCUUUCUGAACUUGUUGAUUCCAGUUGUACUUGUUUUAUUAUGAAAUUUAAAUAUGUAAGUUGAUAAAAUGUGACUGAAAAAGAAUUGUUUCUAAGAAAACUAAGUUGACUGCUUUGGAAAUACCUGGUAAGGGUGAGUUUUCUGAUUAGGCAGAUGAAAACUAUUAAAAGCCAUGGGACAAUCAUAAAAACGUAGACGUUUUUCAUUUGCAAGUGUUUUUUCACUUCUCAUUCCACUGAGAACACUUAGAGGAUACAUCACAAGUGUGCUUCAUAGAAGAAAAGUAUUAAGGAGUUGAAAUAACAGACUUAUUGAAAGAAAAAGUCUUGGACCUGUAUCAAAUAAUUGAAUUAAAGUGUCUUUUAAAUUAAAAUCUUUAAGAUAGGUUUGCAUCACUUAAAAUCCAAAAACGUUUUUCCUCUGCGUUAAACAAGUUGACCAUCUUCUGCAUGUGGCUGCAUGUGAACAUAUGUAAUGAUAAGCUGUUAUGAUAUCUUUGUAAAUAAAUGUAAUAAAAAGAAAAGUAUUCAUGCUACUUAGAAAAUAUAAUGUGCUAACACUUACAUAAUUAAGUGUCUAAACUGUAAGAAAUAUUUCGUGUAUGAAAUGUUGGAGAGAAGAAAUUAACCCAACAUCAA
rnacentral:lncRNA from 1 species